rnacentral:rRNA from 1 species
AUGCCGCCUGAACCGGGGACGGCGGACGACGAGCUCGAUAUGCGCUGCCCCGGCGACGACGUGCUGGUACAGAUGGAGUACGUCCCCGAGGGCCGGUUUCUUGGAGGCCCGGCGCCGUGGUUCGCCGCCGCGGGGUGCACGGCCGGCUGCAUGCGGGUCGCCGCCGUGGAGGACCAAGAAGAAGCCUACGGCAAGCAGAUCCUGGUGCUCUACCGCUACGCCCCUUUCUCGGCAUCAUCAGACGGCGAGGUAGCGCGAGGGAACACCAAGGCGCACCUGCUCCGGUUCAUCGCCACCGGCGACCACACGGCGAGGUCGUUGGCGUGGGCCGGAUCGUCUCUUGUCCGGCUGAUAUACCCCAGUGACUUCAGAGAGCAGCUCCAGGAGCUAUGGUCGAGCCUGGCAGCGCAGGUGAGCGUGCUGCCGCGCGCCGCGCGCGUCGAGGUGUUCGUCGACGUCGGCAUCCUCCGGAGGUCGGACUGUAGGCCAGAGCGCGUGGAGCGGAUGCGCGCCGCACUGGAGCGUAUGGCGGAGAAGCCGUGGCCCGGGCGCUUCACAGGCAUGGAAUCUGCACCUGCCGGUGCCGAUGCGGUGCGGCCAUUACAAAGACGAAGCCAAUGUUGA